UUUCCGUAGGUGAACCUGCGGAAGGAUCAUUAAAGAGUUAGGGUCCUCGUGGCCCGACCUCCCACCCUUUGUUUAACUAUACCACGUUGCUUCGGCGGGCCCGUCCUCCCUCUUUGGGGGGGACCGCCGGAGGGUCUCAUCCCCCUCUGGUCCGUUGCCCGUCGACAGCCAUCAAACCAAAACUCUUGAUACAAAACCAUGUCGUCUGAGUCUAAAUUUUAAUUAAAUUAAAACUUACAACAACGGAUCUCUUGGUUCUGGCAUCGAUGAAGAACGCAGC
rnacentral:misc_RNA from 1 species